rnacentral:rRNA from 1 species
UCGGGAAUUUUGGGCAAUGGGCGAAAGCCUGACCGAGCGAUGCCGCGUGCGGGAUGAAGGCCUUCGGGUUGUAAACCGCUGUCGUAGGGGAGAAAGGGUCGUUGAAGAAACGACUUUGAUCUAUCCUAGGAGGAAGUCCGGGCUAAGUUCGUGCCAGCAGCCGCGGUAACACGAACCGGACAAACGUUAUUCGGAAUUACUGGGCUUAAAGGGUGCGUAGGCGGUGCGGUAAGUGCGGUGUGAAAUCCCACGGCUCAACCGUGGAAUUGCGCUGCAUACUGCCGUGCUAGAGGGAGACAGGGGUAAGCGGAACUGAUGGUGGAGCGGUGAAAUGCGUAGAUAUCUACUGGAAUGCCGAUGGUGAAGACGCGCGACUGGGCCUGUCCUGACGCUGAGGCACGAAAGCGUGGGGAGCAAACAGGAUUAGAUACCCCCGUAGUCCCUGAGCGGGCUGGCAAGGCGCAU